rnacentral:rRNA from 1 species
AACGAACGCUGGCGGCAGGCUUAACACAUGCAAGUCGAGCGCCCCGCAAGGGGAGCGGCAGACGGGUGAGUAACGCGUGGGAAUCUACCCAUCUCUACGGAAUAACGCAUGGAAACGUGUGCUAAUACCGUAUACGUCCUUCGGGAGAACGAUGUUAUCGGAGAUGGAUGAGCCCGCGUUGGAUCAGCUAGUUGGUGGGGUAAAGGCCUACCAAGGCGACGAUCCAUAGCUGGUCUGAGAGGAUGAUCAGCCACACUGGGACUGAGACACGGCCCAGACUCCUACGGGAGGCAGCAGUGGGGAAUAUUGGACAAUGGGCGCAAGCCUGAUCCAGCCAUGCCGCGUGAGUGAUGAAGGCCCUAGGGUUGUAAAGCUCUUUCACCGGUGAAGAUAAUGACGGUAACCGGAGAAGAAGCCCCGGCUAACUUCGUGCCAGCCGCCGCGGUAAUAC